rnacentral:rRNA from 1 species
ACGUACACUCCUACGGGAGGCAGCAGUGGGGAAUCUUGCGCAAUGGGCGAAAGCCUGACGCAGCCAUGCCGCGUGAAUGAUGAAGGUCUUAGGAUUGUAAAAUUCUUUCACCGGGGACGAUAAUGACGGUACCCGGAGAAGAAGCCCCGGCUAACUUCGUGCCAGCAGCCGCGGUAAUACGAAGGGGGCUAGCGUUGCUCGGAAUUACUGGGCGUAAAGGGAGCGUAGGCGGACAUUUAAGUCAGGGAUGAAAUCCCGGGGCUCAACCUCGGAAUUGCCUUUGAUACUGGGUGUCUUGAUUAUGAGAGAGGUUUGUGGAACUCCGAGUGUAGAGGUGAAAUUCGUAGAUAUUCGGAAGAACACCAGUGGCGAAGGCGACACACUGGCUCAUUACUGACGCUGAGGCUCGAAAGCGUGGGGAGCAAACAGGAUUAGAUACCCCGGUAGUCCCA